UACGUAGGGUGCAAGCGUUAAUCGGAAUUACUGGGCGUAAAGCGUGCGCAGGCGGUGAUGUAAGACAGGUGUGAAAUCCCCGGGCUUAACCUGGGAACUGCAUUUGUGACUGCAUCGCUGGAGUGCGGCAGAGGGGGAUGGAAUUCCGCGUGUAGCAGUGAAAUGCGUAGAUAUGCGGAGGAACACCGAUGGCGAAGGCAAUCCCCUGGGCCUGCACUGACGCUCAUGCACGAAAGCGUGGGGAGCGAAACAAGG
rnacentral:rRNA from 1 species